rnacentral:rRNA from 1 species
AAUGGGCGAAAGCCUGAUCCAGCAAUGCCGCGUGCAGGAUGAAGGCCUUCGGGUUGUAAACUGCUUUUGUACGGAACGAAAAGCCCUGGGUUAAUACCCUGGGGUCAUGACGGUACCGCAAGAAUAAGCACCGGCUAACUACGUGCCAGCAGCCGCGGUAAUACGUAGGGUGCGAGCGUUAAUCGGAAUUACUGGGCGUAAAGCGUGCGCAGGCGGUUUUGUAAGACAGAGGUGAAAUCCCCGGGCUCAACCUGGGAACUGCCUUUGUGACUGCAAGGCUAGAGUACGGCAGAGGGGGAUGGAAUUCCGCGUGUAGCAGUGAAAUGCGUAGAUAUGCGGAGGAACACCGAUGGCGAAGGCAAUCCCCUGGGCCUGUACUGACGCUCAUGCACGAAAGCGUGGGGAGCAAACAGGAUUAGAUACCCUGGUAGUCCACGCCCUAAACGAUGUCAACUGGUUGUUGGGUCUUAACUGACUCAGUAACGAAGCUAACGCGUGAAGUUGACCGCCUGGGG